GUAACCUGCCUGUAAGACUGGGAUAACUCCGGGAAACCGGGGCUAAUACCGGAUGGUUGUUUGAACCGCAUGGUUCAGACAUAAAAGGUGGCUUCGGCUACCACUUACAGAUGGACCCGCGGCGCAUUAGCUAGUUGGUGAGGUAACGGCUCACCAAGGCAACGAUGCGUAGCCGACCUGAGAGGGUGAUCGGCCACACUGGGACUGAGACACGGCCCAGACUCCUACGGGAGGCAGCAGUAGGGAAUCUUCCGCAAUGGACGAAAGUCUGACGGAGCAACGCCGCGUGAGUGAUGAAGGUUUUCGGAUCGUAAAGCUCUGUUGUUAGGGAAGAACAAGUGCCGUUCAAAUAGGGCGGCACCUUGACGGUACCUAACCAGAAAGCCACGGCUAACUACGUGCCAGCAGCCGCGGUAAUACGUAGGUGGCAAGCGUUGUCCGGAAUUAUUGGGCGUAAAGGGCUCGCAGGCGGUUUCUUAAGUCUGAUGUGAAAGCCCCCGGCUCAACCGGGGAGGGUCAUUGGAAACUGGGGAACUUGAGUG
rnacentral:rRNA from 2 species